rnacentral:lncRNA from 1 species
AAAAAAAAAAAAAGGAAACUUGCCUUCGAGAUGAAAUAUCAUUGGGUGUUCCGCUGACAGAAAAAUUUUGGUUGUCAUUGUCCUGUCUCCCUUCAUAGUCACCUGACCCUGUACCAACAUUCAGUGCAUUUGUUUUGACAGCUCUGUGCCCCACAUGCAUCCAUGGUGACUCUCUACAUUGUACUGAAUAAGGAAAUUAUCUCUCAAUACUACAAUACAAUGACAAACUAAGCCUUUUCUCCAUCAAUUUUGGGUUGGCAAGAAACGGAAACAAAGAUAAGUUAUGCAGAGCAUGGAAGCUCCAUUCUGAAUAAUCCAAGAGAAAGUACAUGGAAGUCAAAAGAACAAUAGAAUCAAAACAGUAAGAUCAGCGAUCAAUCUAAAAACCAUUUCACAUAAUGAGAGAGAGAGAUAGAUUCCUCGAGUUUCCAUUUUCUUUUAGUAAAAAUGAAUUUAACUAUGGUAUCUAGAAGGAAAAUAGUCUGCUAUACAAGAUAACUUAUAAUAAUAAAUAGGACUCCAGGCGUUUAUGCCAGUUAAAUUCUUUCAAUCAGCAAUCCCAACUAUACAAAACCGAACCCAAAUCACUUUGCAUACCGGACCCACAAAUAAUUCAAAAGAAUGCCUUUUUGUACUUAUACAAUGCAUAAUGUCAAUGUAAUCUUUUCCCAGUUCAUCAUACAACAAUUAAAGGAAGUUAUCCUACUGUUGCCCAGAUCACAAUACGUUCAAUUUAAAGGAAUGAUCCACUUCAGAUAUACUCAAGAAUUCAUCCCAAGUUGAAAAUUAACAGGAAAGUUUAAGACACACGAUAAAAGAUCAGUAAAACACAACAAAUAUUCAAUCUUUAUCAAAUUUCCAGUUAAACUUUGGGAAAACAAAAAGAUCAUGGAGUGGACUAAUGGAACACUUACAUGAACAUGAAGAUGAAGAUGAUACAAUACUUUUUGGAACAAAAGAACUCGAGGGAAAUGAAUUAUUCAACGCGAAAAAGCGCGGAAGCAAUUUCUUGUCCGUUUUUCUUGUUGCAAUUAAAAUUUGAGGAGUUUGUACAGCCAGAACUUGCAUUUUGCCUCUACAGUAACUGCUUUCUUUACAAAAUCUCGAAGCCCAUUACAAAAUUGGCACUUAUAUGACAGUGAAAAGUAAGAACUAUCAAAACAUGGACAAUUGUGACGAGUUCAGAGGCUGAGGUGUAGAGGGGAUAUAGACGUGUCCGGUUUUCUGUAACUGGGAUUUCCUCACCUCUGUUUCUCUCUCUCCAAUUCCUGCAGUUCCGUUUUAGAACCCAGAAAACACGACUUUUUCAGAACAGUAUUUGGAAUACCCUUGACAGCUCAAGUAUUGCUACUUCAAC